UGGGGAAUAUUGGGCAAUGGGCGCAAGCCUGACCCAGCCACGCCGCGUGAGUGAUGAAGGCCUUCGGGUCGUAAAGCUCUGUGGGGAAGGACGAAAAAACAUUGGCUAAUAUCCAAUGGCUUGACGGUACUUCCUUAGCAAGCACCGGCUAACUCUGUGCCAGCAGCCGCGGUAAUACAGAGGGUGCAAACGUUGCUCGGAAUCAUUGGGCAUAAAGGGCGCGUAGGCGGCCUAACAAGUCGUUUGUGAAAUCCCCCAGCUCAACUGGGGAACUGCAUACGAUACUGUUUGGCUCGAGGACGGGAGGGGUAAGUGGAACUCCAGGUGGAACGGUGAAAUGCGUUGAUAUCAUCAGGAACACCGGUGGCGAAAGCGGCUUACUGGGUCUCUUCUGACGCUGAGGCACGAAAGCUAGGGUAGCGAACGGGAUUAGAUACCCCUGUAGUCCCUGAGCGGGCUGGCAAGGCGCAU
rnacentral:rRNA from 1 species